rnacentral:rRNA from 1 species
CGGGUGAGGAAUACAUCGGAAUUUGCCCAGUCGUGGGGGAUAACGUAGGGAAACUUACGCUAAUACCGCAUACGACCGAGAGGUGAAAGCGGGGGAUCUGUAAGGACCUCGCGCGAGUGGAUGAGCCGAUGUCGGAUUAGCUAGUUGGCGGGGUAAAGGCCCACCAAGGCGACGAUCCGUAGCUGGUCUGAGAGGAUGAUCAGCCACACUGGGACUGAGACACGGCCCAG